rnacentral:rRNA from 2 species
AGCGCAUACGGUGGAUGCCUUGGCAGUCAGAGGCGAUGAAAGACGUGGUAGCCUGCGAAAAGCUUCGGGGAGUCGGCAAACAGACUGUGAUCCGGAGAUGUCUGAAUGGGGGAACCCAGCCAUCAUAAGAUGGUUAUCUUGUACUGAAUACAUAGGUGCAAGAGGCGAACCAGGGGAACUGAAACAUCUAAGUACCCUGAGGAAAAGAAAUCAACCGAGAUUCCCUUAGUAGUGGCGAGCGAACGGGGACCAGCCCUUAAGUUGUAUUGAGAUUAGCGGAACGUUCUGGAAAGGACGGCCAUAGUGGGUGAUAGCCCUGUACGCGAAAAUCCCUUUGCAAUGAAAUCGAGUAGGACGGGGCACGAGAAACCUUGUCUGAAUAUGGGGGGACCAUCCUCCAAGGCUAAAUACUACUGACUGACCGAUAGUGAACCAGUACCGUGAGGGAAAGGCGAAAAGAACCGCGGAGAGCGGAGUGAAAUAGAUCCUGAAACCGUAUGCGUACAAGCAGUGGGAGCCCACUUUGUUGGGUGACUGCGUACCUUUUGUAUAAUGGGUCAGCGACUUAUUUUCAGUGGCGAGCUUAACCGAAUAGGGGAGGCGUAGCGAAAGCGAGUCUUAAUAGGGCGUCUAGUCGCUGGGAAUAGACCCGAAACCGGGCGAUCUAUCCAUGGGCAGGUUGAAGGUUGGGUAACACUAACUGGAGGACCGAACCGACUACCGUUGAAAAGUUAGCGGAUGACCUGUGGAUCGGAGUGAAAGGCUAAUCAAGCUCGGAGAUAGCUGGUUCUCCUCGAAAGCUAUUUAGGUAGCGCCUCAUGUAUCACUGUAGGGGGUAGAGCACUGUUUCGGCUAGGGGGUCAUCCCGACUUACCAAACCGAUGCAAACUCCGAAUACCUACAAGUGCCGAGCAUGGGAGACACACGGCGGGUGCUAACGUCCGUCGUGAAAAGGGAAACAACCCAGACCGUCAGCUAAGGUCCCAAAGUCAUGGUUAAGUGGGAAACGAUGUGGGAAGGCUUAGACAGCUAGGAGGUUGGCUUAGAAGCAGCCACCCUUUAAAGAAAGCGUAAUAGCUCACUAGUCGAGUCGGCCUGCGCGGAAGAUGUAACGGGGCUCAAACCAUGCACCGAAGCUACGGGUAUCAUCUUUUGAUGAUGCGGUAGAGGAGCGUUCUGUAAGCCUGUGAAGGUGAGUUGAGAAGCUUGCUGGAGGUAUCAGAAGUGCGAAUGCUGACAUGAGUAACGACAAUGGGUGUGAAAAACACCCACGCCGAAAGACCAAGGUUUCCUGCGCAACGUUAAUCGACGCAGGGUUAGUCGGUCCCUAAGGCGAGGCUGAAAAGCGUAGUCGAUGGAAAACAGGUUAAUAUUCCUGUACUUCUGGUUAUUGCGAUGGAGGGACGGAGAAGGCUAGGCCAGCCUGGCGUUGGUUGUCCAGGUUUAAGGUGGUAGGCUGAGAUCUUAGGUAAAUCCGGGAUCUUAAGGCCGAGAGCUGAUGACGAGUGUUCUUUAGAACACGAAGUGGUUGAUGCCAUGCUUCCAAGAAAAGCUUCUAAGCUUCAGGUAACCAGGAACCGUACCCCAAACCGACACAGGUGGUUGGGUAGAGAAUACCAAGGCGCUUGAGAGAACUCGGGUGAAGGAACUAGGCAAAAUGGCACCGUAACUUCGGGAGAAGGUGCGCCGGUGAGGGUGAAGCAUUUACUGCGUAAGCCCACGCCGGUCGAAGAUACCAGGCCGCUGCGACUGUUUAUUAAAAACACAGCACUCUGCAAACACGAAAGUGGACGUAUAGGGUGUGACGCCUGCCCGGUGCCGGAAGGUUAAUUGAUGGGGUUAGCGCAAGCGAAGCUCUUGAUCGAAGCCCCGGUAAACGGCGGCCGUAACUAUAACGGUCCUAAGGUAGCGAAAUUCCUUGUCGGGUAAGUUCCGACCUGCACGAAUGGCGUAACGAUGGCGGCGCUGUCUCCACCCGAGACUCAGUGAAAUUGAAAUCGCUGUGAAGAUGCAGUGUAUCCGCGGCUAGACGGAAAGACCCCGUGAACCUUUACUAUAGCUUUGCACUGGACUUUGAAUUUGCUUGUGUAGGAUAGGUGGGAGGCUUUGAAGCGUGGACGCCAGUCUGCGUGGAGCCAACCUUGAAAUACCACCCUGGCAACUUUGAGGUUCUAACUCAGGUCCGUUAUCCGGAUCGAGGACAGUGUAUGGUGGGUAGUUUGACUGGGGCGGUCUCCUCCUAAAGAGUAACGGAGGAGUACGAAGGUGCGCUCAGACCGGUCGGAAAUCGGUCGUAGAGUAUAAAGGCAAAAGCGCGCUUGACUGCGAGACAGACACGUCGAGCAGGUACGAAAGUAGGUCUUAGUGAUCCGGUGGUUCUGUAUGGAAGGGCCAUCGCUCAACGGAUAAAAGGUACUCCGGGGAUAACAGGCUGAUACCGCCCAAGAGUUCAUAUCGACGGCGGUGUUUGGCACCUCGAUGUCGGCUCAUCACAUCCUGGGGCUGAAGCCGGUCCCAAGGGUAUGGCUGUUCGCCAUUUAAAGUGGUACGCGAGCUGGGUUUAGAACGUCGUGAGACAGUUCGGUCCCUAUCUGCCGUGGACGUUUGAGAUUUGAGAGGGGCUGCUCCUAGUACGAGAGGACCGGAGUGGACGAACCUCUGGUGUUCCGGUUGUCACGCCAGUGGCAUUGCCGGGUAGCUAUGUUCGGAAAAGAUAACCGCUGAAAGCAUCUAAGCGGGAAACUUGCCUCAAGAUGAGAUCUCACUGGAACCUUGA